rnacentral:rRNA from 1 species
CGGGGUGCAGCAGGCGCGAAACCUUUGCCAUGCGCGAAAGCGUGACAGGGGAAUUCCGAGUGGUAGGGGGGUUUACCUCCCUAUCUUUUGGCCAAUCCAAACAAUUGGCAGAAUAAGAUCUGGGUAAGACCAGUGCCAGCCGCCGCGGUAAUACUGGCAGAGCAAGUGGUAUCCACGAAUAUUGGGUCUAAAGAGUCCGUAGCGGGCCUGUUAAGUCCACUGUGAAAUCUGGCGGCUCAACCGUCAGGCGUGCAGUGGAUACUGGCAGGCUUGGGAGUGGGGGAGGUCGGGAGUACUCACGGGGUAACGGUAAAAUGUUGUAAUCCUGUGAGGACUACCAGUGGCGAAGGCGCCCGACCAAAACACGUCCGACCGUGAGGGACGAAGGCUAGGAGAACGAAUCGGAUUAGAUACCCGAGUAGCCCUAGCAGUAAAUUAUGCAGACUGUGGUGUUGCGUCGACUUCGAGUCGGCGCAGUGCUGUAGCGUAGGUGUUAAGUCUGCCACCUGGGGAGUACGGCCGCAAGGUUGAAACUUAAAGGAAUUGGCGGGGGAGCACAAGGGCGAUUCGC